rnacentral:tRNA from 7 species
GCGGGUGUAGUUCAAUGGUAGAACUCCAGCCUUCCAAGCUGAUUACGUGGGUUCGAUUCCCAUCACCCGCUCCA